rnacentral:lncRNA from 1 species
GUACGUGAGCUGUGAAGUGAAUAUUUUAGAAUAAUAUGUAACAAUAUUGUAGUGUUGACAGUGGGCAGGUGAGGUAGAAUAAAGGUAACCAUCUGGGGAAAUUUCACAUGGUGCUGGUCAAAAUGACAGUUUGAGGGGCUGUCUGGAGCAUGCGGAAACUUGUGUGCUGUAGUGUUUGCAGUGGUUGUCGGUAGGUCUGUGGACUUGCAGCACUAAAGUUUGUGAAUCAAAGUAUGGAAUGCCGUAAUCUUCAUGUGUGGAGAGAUAUCCACAGCAAAAAAUAAAUGAAACAUUAAACAAAAAAGGCAUAUGCAAAAAUGACAUUUGCUAAAUUUGUAAGAUGCAAAAUACUGUGCGCUUUUACUUAUGCAUUUCAAUAAUUCUUGCUUGCUAGCACUGUGCUAACUUGUGUGCUGUGACACAAGAUAUUUUUUCAAGCUAUCUUUCUUGGACGUUAUUCAGUGCCUUCUUCUUACUGAAAAGGAAAUGCGCCCAAGUAUUCAGGGCUUUAUCAGCUGCAUCACGGGUGAACACUGCCAUUUCUUGCAGCUCCUGGGCAGUGUCCUUGCUGUAAUUGUCAGUCUGCAAAGGCACUUUGAGGCCCUUCUCAAUUGUUUCUAUGGUAUCAGCCCUGCAAUUCUGCAUCGAUGCUGCCAAUUAGCUGUUUAUGUCCACAGAAACACUUGCGUUUCAUGUAGCCACAGCAGAUUUGAGCAGCAGACUUUAAUGCUCACUGCAAUAGUGACUGCUUGACCAUGUUAGAGGAUCAUUUUAAGCAGACUCUUCUUCUUUUGUUUAGAGUAUGUGGCUAACCAAAAUGAAAAACGCUGAAACUUCAGGAACAGUGCCAACUAGAAAAUAUCAAAUUAAUUUGUAUGGAUUAGCACUUCACUCAUUAAUUAAUAUAGUUGGUAAAAUAGUCAUAAAAAUGACACGGGUAACUGGGAGGCUGCAGUUCCGCUGCACAUUGAGUUCUGGUGUUGGUGAGCAACAAUGAGUCAAAGCAAAGGACAACCAAGGUAUUGCGUAGAGAAUUUUAGUGAAGCGUUAUUAAAAUGCAGAGCAAUCAAUGUCGCUGAAUAAUUCAGCAAGAAACUUGCACAGAACUGGGACAGCCACGACUGUCCAAACGCAGUAUAUGUGAGCUGUGGAUCAACAUUGAUGAAGUCUGUGGCAGGAAGGCAAAGUGGACUUGUCUAUUCUUUAUCCAAGGCAUUUUAGCGCAGUGCUGAAUAAAAUGAAAUAGUUUGCAGGCCUUUUGUGGAGCAGGCUUGCCAUGCUGAAUGAAGCAGUUGACAUAUUUGUCGCAAACUGAGAUCUUCGUGACAGGCAUGAAGGGCCAGCAUCUGUCCAAAGAAUCCAGCCCUGUAGACAUCCAUGGGCGCAUUACCCGGAGGACCCGGGUCAGAGAGCGCCACUUGUCGGCGCCGGAACACCUCGACCAGGUUCUCGACUCGCUGGCUGGACUCAAGCAUUGCCUCUGGAGACAGGUUGUCCAACGUCACCAGGUCGACUGCAGUGUGCAAGGUCCACCUGGCUCCUGGAGCAGCGAGGUGAACAGCAUCCACUGCCGCACGCUCAUGUCGGGCCACAGGUGCCAGUUGCGAGCAACGUAGGCGACACAGUGCUCCAGUCUUGCCGGUGGCAUGAACAGUCCGUUGAACAUGAUGUCGCCGCGCAGCCGGCUGCCCCACUUUGGGUGCCGGUUGGCCAGGAUAUCCAGCAGGGCGGAACCUUCUUGCUCUGCAUGUCGAAGUCCAAAGAUAUGUCAUGGAUCAUCAGAUAUGACUAAUUUUUGGAUGUAACGAAUUCCAGAGCAGCAUGCUCACCGGACGUGGCGAUGAUGGCAAGGAUCUCCCCACCACGGACUUCAAAUGACAGCCCCUCGAGCAGGAGCAACUUGGUGCGUGGUCCACCGCACAGCCGCUGACCCAGACUGGAGCGGUCCAGCUCGAACGUCAGGUCUC